rnacentral:sRNA from 13 species
GGCGGCAAAUGGUGUCAGAAACUUUGAAACUUUCCUUUGUAUAUUACAUUAAUCUAUAUAAGAAAAUCUCUUUUAAUGAGGAGUGAUGUAGUUACAAACUCUCCAGAGCCAUAAUUAGAGCAAACUAAUUGAAGUUGUGUUUUGACACACUUUCCAAAUUCACGGGUGCCGGGUGACAUAUUCACAACACUGCUGCUGCACAGCCAUGGCGACGGCAAAAUCAUUAGGCUAAUAACACUUAUUUGCAUUCUUAUCAUGCCAGCAGCUCGCCCUUAAAUACUGUUUCUACUACUGCUCCUUUCCUGUAAGUUUCCACUGAAAGAUAUUAACAGUAAUUAUUAGUACUUUAGUAGAAUUUUAAUGUUAAAGA